rnacentral:rRNA from 1 species
GACGAAGGGGGCUAGCGUUGUUCGGAAUUACUGGGCGUAAAGCGCGUGUAGGCGGUUUUGUAAGCCAGAUGUGAAAUCCCCGGGCUUAACCUGGGAAUGGCAUUUGGGACUGCAAGGCUGGAGUACGGCAGAGGAGACUGGAAUUCCUGGUGUAGCAGUGAAAUGCGUAGAGAUCAGGAGGAAUACCGAUGGCGAAGGCAGGUCUCUGGGCUGAUACUGACGCUCAUGCACGAAAGCGUGGGGAGCAAACAGG